rnacentral:misc_RNA from 1 species
GAUGAAGAACGCAGUGAAAUGCGAUAAGUAAUGUGAAUUGCAGAAUUCAGUGAAUCAUCGAAUCUUUGAACGCACAUUGCGCCCGCCAGUAUUCUGGCGGGCAUGCCUGUUCGAGCGUCAUUUCAACCCUCAAGACCCCUUCGGGGGACUUGGUGUUGGGGACCGGCACAGGGGCCUGCCUGCUUGUCUUGCAGCGCCCUCGCCGCCCCCGAAAUGAAUUGGCGGCCUCGUCGCGGCCUCCCCUGCGUAGUAGCACAACCUCGCAACGGGAACGUGACGGCGGCCACUGCCGUAAAACAACCCCAAUUUUAUUAGAGUUGACCUCGAAUCAGGUAGGAAUACCCGCUGAACUUAAGCAUAUCAAUAAGCGGAGGA